AUUGAACGCUGGCGGCAUGCCUUACACAUGCAAGUCGAACGGCAGCACGGGAGCAAUCCUGGUGGCGAGUGGCGAACGGGUGAGUAAUAUAUCGGAACGUGCCCAGUCGUGGGGAUAACGUAGCGAAAGCUACGCUAAUACCGCAUACGAUCUAUGGAUGAAAGCGGGGGAUCGCAAGACCUCGCGCGAUUGGAGCGGCCGAUAUCAGAUUAGGUAGUUGGUGAGGUAUAGGCUCACCAAGCCGACGAUCUGUAGCUGGUCUGAGAGGACGACCAGCCACACUGGGACUGAGACACGGCCCAGACUCCUACGGAGGCAGCAGUGGGGAAUUUUUGGACAAUGGGCGCAAGCCUGAUCCAGCAAUGCCGCGUGCAGGAUGAAGGCCUUC
rnacentral:rRNA from 1 species